CAGACGCAGUUAAAAAUACUUCGCAUAAAAUAGACCCGCUGGACGAUAAAAAGAAUAGUCCAGGCAAAAAAAGGACAUCCCGACGAACCAAAAAAAAAAGAAUAAAGAGGUUCGGGAAAAAAUUAGGGAUAUAUAUAAAAAAAAAAGAGUACACCUGGUGAGUCGAAAACCCAAAAGGGCGGCUCAGGCAAAAAUGGGUAUCCCGGUGGAUUGAAAACCCAAAAGGGCGGUCCACGCAAAAGUUAGGGAAUAAGCGAAUGACUAUGAUCUGAGUUCAUCAGUGUUAUAUCACCGUUUCAUCCAAUCCGGCAAUCUUCGAAGGUUAAAGAUCGACUAAUCAUCCACUUCAGAAAGCAAG
rnacentral:lncRNA from 1 species